UACAGAGGUCUCAAGCGUUGUUCGGAUUCAUUGGGCGUAAAGGGUGCGUAGGCGGCGCGGUAAGUCGGGUGUGAAAUCUCGGGGCUUAACUCCGAAACUGCAUUCGAUACUACCGUGCUUGAGGACUGGAGAGGAGACUGGAAUUUACGGUGUAGCGGUGAAAUGCGUAGAUAUCGUAAGGAAGACCAGUGGCGAAGGCGGGUCUCUGGACAGGUACUGACGCUGAGACGCGAAAGCGUGGGUAGCAAACAGG
rnacentral:rRNA from 1 species